rnacentral:rRNA from 1 species
GACGAACGCUGGCGGCGUGCUUAACACAUGCAAGUCGAGCGGUAAGGCCCUUUCGGGGGUACACGAGCGGCGAACGGGUGAGUAACACGUGGGUGACCUGCCCUCAGCUCUGGGAUAAGCCUGGGAAACCGGGUCUAAUACCGGAUAUGACUCCAUGACGCAUGUUGUGGGGUGGAAAGCCUUGUGCGGCUGAGGAUGGGCCCGCGGCCUAUCAGCUUGUUGGUGGGGUGANGGCCUACCAAGGCGACGACGGGUAGCCGGCCUGAGAGGGCGACCGGCCACACUGGGACUGAGACACGGCCCAGACUCCUACGGGAGGCAGCAGUGGGGAAUGUUGCGCAAUGGGCGAAAGCCUGACGCAGCGACGCCGCGUGAGGGAUGACGGCCU